UGCGAACUUUCAGCCGCUCGCCGAAUUUGAGCGGAAGGUAGUAUGCUGGAGUGAGUGAGUUUGGUAUUGUGCGCUAUUUUGACCCCAGAUCUAGUUACGACGACGCCGAUGACGAUGUCGAUAUUGAAGAAGUAAGAAGAAGAAGAAGAAGCAGAAGUAGAAGAAGACAACAGGUAUGGAGGCGUACCUGAUGCGUCUGUUGUCUGUUGUAUAGAAGUGUCUUGUUGACUUUUUAUAUUAAUAAAUUGAUAAGGGUAUUAUUACGGUUUGUUGUCUGGGUGUGCAUUGGCGUGGCGGCUGCCCGCGACGGCUGCGGCUACGGUGGCGGCGUGUCAGUGGCGAAGGUAGACAGUGAGACACGUAAUUGGGAAGGAAGUCGGAUAUGUGCUGCUGUUGUUAUUGCUGGCGGCUUUGUUGACGGUUUAGAUGAUUCAUGGUGGAAAUAAAAUUGAGACGGGAUAAGAUCAAGAGGUUGGGAAGAUUAGGAAGGGCAUUCAUCAAAUUGAAUGUUUUCCUGAUACUCUUUUUUUCAAAUAGAAAGGUGCACAUCCGAUAGAUCAAAACAAUAGUGUUGAACGAUUCGAAUUAGUCUUUUACUUUUUUUUUUGUAAAUAAUUAAUGUGUUUAAAAAGGUUUUGCAUUGAUU